ACCUGGAUGCCUCAGUUGGUAGAGCAUGUGACUCUUGAUCUCAGGAUUGUGAGUUCAAGCCUCACAUUGGGUG
rnacentral:tRNA from 1 species